rnacentral:rRNA from 1 species
UGCCAGCAGCCGCGGUAAUACGGAGGGGGCUAGCGUUGUUCGGAAUUACUGGGCGUAAAGCGCGCGUAGGCGGGCUGGUCAGUUGGGGGUGAAAUCCCGAGGCUCAACCUCGGAACUGCCCUCAAUACUACCAGUCUAGAGUUCGGGAGAGGUGAGUGGAAUUCCUAGUGUAGAGGUGAAAUUCGUAGAUAUUCGGAGGAACACCAGUGGCGAAGGCGGCUUUCUGGACCAAUACUGACGCUGAGAUGCGAAAGCGUGGGGAGCGAACAGGAUUAGAUA